CCCUUAGAUGUUCUGGGCAGCACGCGCGCUACAAUGGUCUUCGCAAACGGAUGCAUUCUCGAAGGAGAAUGCCAAUCUUGGAAACUAUGCCUUGGUCGGGACAGUUGCUUGCAAUUUUUCGACUCGAACCAGGAAUUCCUUGUAAUCGUGAUUCAUCACAUCACGAUGAAUACGUCCCUGCCCUUUGUACACACCGCCCGUCGCUCCUACCGAUCGAAGAGUUAGGUGAAUUGUUUUGAUCGAUAAGAUUUGACUAUGGUCAACUCUCGUUGUGAAAUUCUGUGAAUCUGACUGUUUAGAGGAAGGAAAAGUCGUAACA
rnacentral:rRNA from 1 species